UACGAAGGGGGCUAGCGUUGUUCGGAGUUACUGGGCGUAAAGGGCGCGUAGGCGGCGCAUCAAGUCAGGCGUGAAAGCCCUGGGCUCAACCCGGGAAUUGCGCUUGAGACUGAUGUGCUUGAGUACGGGAGAGGAUAGUGGAAUUCCCAGUGUAGAGGUGAAAUUCGUAGAUAUUGGGAAGAACACCGGUGGCGAAGGCGGCUAUCUGGACCGUAACUGACGCUGAGGCGCGAAAGCGUGGGGAGCAAACAGG
rnacentral:rRNA from 1 species